AAGGGAAAGAGGGGUGGGGUCUUGAUUAGGUAGAGCGCGCUUCUGGGCUCCGGUGUCACGUGCAGGAGGCGGGAGAGUCACCUGAUUAGGGAGAACCGGUCUUCUGAGCCACUUCCGCCCUCACUGGUUGCCGUGGUAACAGGCCUCCGGUGGAGGGCGGGGACCCUCGGAAGCCAGCUGGGUGGCGAUCGCUUGUCUGCCUUGGCAGGCCCCUUGUGCAGUCUUUUCCCGGCGUGAGCGUGCAGGGAUUGAAAAGGAAUGCUUUAUGGUUCAGCAGAGAGCCACCACGCAGGAUGCACUGGGACCUGAGAACCGUCGGGCAGUCCCACGAGCUCUUUCAUGACCAGCUCCAACCGACAAGUACACGCCCCUUCGCACUCCACUAGCUAGUAAGCUGAGCUACAAGGUGUGCCAGGCACCCAGGACGCCGAUUCACCGCUUCAGUGAAGGCCCAGCUCAAAUGCCACCUCUUCCAUGAAGACUUCCGUGAUCCACAAUGAUAGCAUCUCCAGCAAUUGCUUCUAUAAUGAAUAGCAUGAGUCAUUCUGCAGGAUGUUGAUCUUCCUUUUUUUACUCCUAGACUGAAUUUUUCCACCACCUGGAUGAACAUAGCAGAAAGAACAUAGUGUUUUAGAGUCAGACACAAUAGGAAUCAGGCACUUUGGAAUCUUGGCUCUACCACCUUUGAGCUAUGUAUCCCAAGGCAAGUCACUUCCCCUCUCUCAGCUUUAAAAUAGUAAUAGGAUUGCUGUAGGGAUUAAAGUAAAUCAACAUAUGUAAAGUGCCCACACAGGACCUGGCAUAUAGUAGUUGCAUUUUAAAUUUUUUAAACAAAAUGUAAGCAUACUAUCUUUCCAGGGUGUUCAGAAGCCUGAAAAACACCUUGGAUCUUUUCUCAGAGCUGGAUCACAAAGAUGUCACACUGUCUCCUGUUCUGACACACUGAGUGGUUCCUCAUGGCUGGAGCCUGGGGCGUGUGGUCAGGUGUUUGUUGAGAAAGGAGUCGCUUGAUCAGGUGUUUGUUGAGAAAGGAGUCACUGGGAAAUCCCAAAUAUUAUCUGAUUGAACUCAUGUGGUGCCAAGAUCUGGGGGAAUUUCACAGAAAACACAUUUCUGUUUCUAAGCUGUAUUAGUUUUCUGAGGCUGCCAUAACACAUUAUCACAAUUCUUGCUUGAGCCCAAGAAUUUGGGACCAGCCUGGGCAACAUGGCAAAACCUUGUCUCUACAAAAAUACAAAAAUUAGCCCAGCAUGUCGUUUUCACCUAUAGUCCCAGCUACUGAGGAGGCUGAGGUGGGAGGAUUACCUGAGCCUGGGGAGGUUGAGGCUGCAGUGAGUCAAGAUCAUGCCACUGUACUCCAGCUUGGGCAACAGACUGAGACCCCAUAUCAAAAACAAACGAAGAGUGAUCAUCCAGUUACUCACUGCUGGGUCUGAGGGAAGCCCAAAGGCAGUGGGAGCCAGAGAAAAUAGUUGAGAGUCAGAUUUCACAGUGGAGGUGACAUUGAAACAGGGUAUUGAAGGGCCAAUAAGAGUUCACCAAGUCAGGAGAGAGGGAGGAAAGGACAUUCCAGCAGAGAGCAGGAUCUAUUCUUUCCACAAGCCUUUACUGAGGUUCACCUUUGCACAGGCUAGCUACUGGGUUCUGGAAAUGCAGAGCUCAAGUAAACAACCCUUCUCCCACUUUUCCCAAAUGCCGAAAACAUUAGGAGAACUAGGACUCUCAUCCCUAGGGGCAUUGGGAAGAACUCAAAAGCCUGCUGCUUGCAAAGUAUUCAAGAUGAUGUAAAGCAUUUAACACACUGUCUGGGAGAUAGUACAUUUUUA
rnacentral:lncRNA from 1 species